UACGUAGGUGGCAAGCGUUGUCCGGAUUCAUUGGGCGUAAAGCGCCCGCAGGCGGCUCGGUAAGUUUCAAGUGAAAUCUCCCGGCUCAACUGGGAGGGGUCUUGGAAAACUGCCGGGCUUGAGGCAGGGAGGGGAAUGCGGAAUUCCAGGUGUAGCGGUGAAAUGCGUAGAUAUCUGGAGGAACAUCAGCGGCGAAGGCGGCAUUCUGGCCCUGUCCUGACGCUCAGGGGCGAAAGCGUGGGGAGCAAAC
rnacentral:rRNA from 1 species